rnacentral:rRNA from 1 species
UACGUAGGGGGCAAGCGUUGUCCGGAAUCAUUGGGCGUAAAGAGCGUGUAGGCGGUUCAGUAAGUCUGCUGUGAAAGUCCAGGGCUCAACCCUGGGAUGCCGGUGGAUACUGCUGGGCUAGAGUACGGAAGAGGCGAGUGGAAUUCCCGGUGUAGCGGUGAAAUGCGCAGAUAUCGGGAGGAACACCAAUUGCGAAGGCAGCUCGCUGGGACGUCACUGACGCUGAGACGCGAAAGCGUGGGGAGCGAACAGG